GUGCUCGCUUCAGCAGAACAUAUACAAAAAUUGGAACGAUACAGAGAAGAUUAGCAUGGCCCCUGCACAAGAAUGACAUGCAAAUUUGUGAAGCGUUCCAUAUUUUU
rnacentral:snRNA from 1 species